rnacentral:rRNA from 1 species
GACGUAGGGCGCGAGCGUUGUCCGGAUUUAUUGGGCGUAAAGAGCUCGUAGGCGGCUUGUUGCGUCGACUGUGAAAACCUGCGGCUCAACCGUGUGGUCUGCAGUCGAUACGGGCAGGCUGGAGUUCGGUAGGGGAGACUGGAAUUCCUGGUGUAGCGGUGAAAUGCGUAGAUAUCUGGAGGAACACCGGUGGCGAAGGCGGCAUCCUGGACCGAGAUUGACGCUGAUGCGCGAAAGCCAGGGGAGCAAACGGG